rnacentral:rRNA from 1 species
UGGGGAAUUUUGGACAAUGGGCGAAAGCCUGAUCCAGCAAUGCCGCGUGUGUGAAGAAGGCCUUCGGGUUGUAAAGCACUUUUGUCCGGAAAGAAAUGGCUCUGGUUAAUACCUGGGGGUCGAUGACGGUACCGGAAGAAUAAGGACCGGCUAACUACGUGCCAGCAGCCGCGGUAAUACGUAGGGUCCAAGCGUUAAUCGGAAUUACUGGGCGUAAAGCGUGCGCAGGCGGUUGUGCAAGACCGAUGUGAAAUCCCCGAGCUUAACUUGGGAAUUGCAUUGGUGACUGCACGGCUAGAGUGUGUCAGAGGGGGGUAGAAUUCCACGUGUAGCAGUGAAAUGCGUAGAGAUGUGGAGGAAUACCGAUGGGCGAAGGCAGCCCCCUGGGAGUAACACUGACGCUCAUGCACGAAAGCGUGGGGAGCAAACAGGAUUAGAUACCCUGGUAGUCCACGCCCUAAACGAUG